CUGCGGCUGACUAUACAUGCAAGUCGAACGCUUCUUUCCUCCCGAGUGCUUGCACUCAAUUGGAAAGAGGAGUGGCGGACGGGUGAGUAACACGUGGGUAACCUACCCAUCAGAGGGGGAUAACACUUGGAAACAGGUGCUAAUACCGCAUAACAGUUUAUGCCGCAUGGCAUAAGAGUGAAAGGCGCUUUCGGGUGUCGCUGAUGGAUGGACCCGCGGUGCAUUAGCUAGUUGGUGAGGUAACGGCUCACCAAGGCCACGAUGCAUAGCCGACCUGAGAGGGUGAUCGGCCACACUGGGACUGAGACACGGCCCAGACUCCUACGGGAGGCAGCAGUAGGGAAUCUUCGGCAAUGGACGAAAGUCUGACCGAGCAACGCCGCGUGAGUGAAGAAGGUUUUCGGAUCGUAAAACUCUGUUGUUAGAGAAGAACAAGGACGUUAGUAACUGAACGUCCCCUGACGGUAUCUAACCAGAAAGCCACGGCUAACUACGUGCCAGCAGCCGCGGUAAUACGUAGGUGGCAAGCGUUGUCCGGAUUUAUUGGGCGUAAAGCGAGCGCAGGCGGUUUCUUAAGUCUGAUGUGAAAGCCCCCGGCUCAACCGGGGAGGGUCAUUGGAAACUGGGAGACUUGAGUGCAGAAGAGGAGAGUGGAAUUCCAUGUGUAGCGGUGAAAUGCGUAGAUAUAUGGAGGAACACCAGUGGCGAAGGCGGCUCUCUGGUCUGUAACUGACGCUGAGGCUCGAAAGCGUGGGGAGCAAACAGGAUUAGAUACCCUGGUAGUCCACGCCGUAAACGAUGAGUGCUAAGUGUUGGAGGGUUUCCGCCCUUCAGUGCUGCAGCAAACGCAUUAAGCACUCCGCCUGGGGAGUACGACCGCAAGGUUGAAACUCAAGAGAAAAUUUGAGACGGGA
rnacentral:rRNA from 1 species